AACAACAUUUCACUGUUUCAAUUACUAAAACUAAAAUAAAAUUAUGACUAAUAUAAGGGACUAAAAAUAUAAUAAACCCAAACAUACCCAUAACCAAAAUGUAACAUGAAAAAACCUAAGGGUCUAAUGUCUAAACAAAGAAAAAAUUAAAUAACACAUCAUUAGGGGUCGUAAUUAAAAAAUACAUAAAAUAAAGAUGCAAAAUUGAAAACAAGGAAACAUUCGAUUUAGGGACCAAAACGCAUGAAACAUAAAAUUCGAAUGGCUCAUCAAAGAUAUAACCUAUGCGUGAAUUGGGUAUUUCUUAAACAUACCCAUACGAUGCAUUCUUUUAAGGUUUAAAAUAUAUAUUAUUUUAAAAGACAAUUGGCCCUAAUUUAUUUGUGAACACUCCUGCGCCACUUACCCUCUCUUCAACUCUCUCCUUCACUCUCUUUUCUUAUAAUACAAAGGAAAGGGUAAAGUAACCCCAUAACCGGCUUUUAUAACGUACCAGAGAAAAUGGUCCCAAACAAAGCUUCUCUACUCUCCAACCUUUAAAACGAAACCUAAACAACCUUGAAAAACUUCACCUCUUCUAGAUCUAAGGGUUCUUGACGGUUACCUUCGGCUUUAGAGGAUUUGGCUUACACGAAGACUGCCUCGACCGUUGAUGAAAAGAUUAACCCUCACAAUAUACAUGCAAGCCUUCCAAAGGACCCCCAACGCUUCGGCCUUUAACCCAGCUCCGGCAACGUUGUACCGACGAGGAUAAGGAUUCAACAAGUCCAAGUAACAAUAUUAUUACUUUCCUAUUUUUCCGUAUUAUUAUUCUGUUUUAGUUUGAUUAUGAUUUUAGGAUGCUCACUGUUUUUGGAUGGUGAUGGUGCUCUCUCGGAUGGAAAGAACCUGAACCAGAACCCGAACGGUGAUGGAGUCAACGAGACUCCACUGAAACUUGCACAACGCAUUCACAUUUGCUGAGAUGGCAAGAUGAUGACAGCUUCUAGAAGUAUUUGGUGAUGGCUCUAUGUUGGCUUGGCACUGCAGUGGGAGGCAUGCGUGGAUGACAGUGGCAAUUUGCUUUAGGAUUAGGAUUUUAGCAAAUCCUAAAUUCAGUAAGUCGGGUCACUGAACCGGGUCACACUUGGGCUUGAACCAACAUCUUGUAAUUGGGUUGAUAUUUGUAACAGGGUCUUGGGCCUAUAAAAUAUAAUAUGUACCAUUAAUAAUAAUAAUAAUAAUAAUAAUAAUAAUAAUGUAUUAAAAGAUGGGACGAAAAGUUAGUGUCGACACUAGUAUUCAUGACAAUUACGACUAGAUCUUUAGGUAAAUUUAUCGAUAUUUUGUCAUAAAUUAGGGUUUGAUUGAUUUACGAAUUGGACUCUUUUUUUCCUUAAUGCCUUUGUGUUCCAAUAUAACAACAUCCACGCCCAAAUAGCUCUAAAACGUUAGAGGCGAAGGUCUUUUAAAUGACAACCUUCUUCUCAACCAAGUUCUUCUCAAUAACAACCUUCUUCUCAACCAAGUUCUUCUCAAUGACAACCUUCUUCUCAAUGACAACCUUCUCAAUCAAUCUCUUCUUUUGACCAAAUUAGGUCGUUCGAUACUCACAACUUUAGAACCAAUAAGGAGAAAAAAAUGGCAUCGAAAUUUCAAAGUAAGGAUGAUUUGUCUUGAACGUGUUAUUGACAUGGAUUUCAUGUUCGAUGAGAAAUAUGAUUUUAGUUUUAAAUCUAUAUUUACUUCUUGGGGUUGGCUUGAAUUCCUUGGUGUAGAACCAAAAUAUUUCCCCAACCUAGUUAGACUUUACUACAAUAAUGCUUCUUUCGAGCGUGAGCCUAAUAAGAAUAAUAUAAUAGGAAUUAAUACGCAUGUCAUGGGGAAGGAUAUAAAUAUAUAUCUUCGGA